rnacentral:tRNA from 1 species
AAUGAAGUGCCUGAGAAAAGGAAUAUCUUGAUAGGGUAUAUAAUGUAAUUGAAUAAUUGCCUUCAUUA